GCUCCCGUAGCUCAGCUGGAUAGAGCAACGGCCUUCUAAGCCGUAGGUCGCAGGUUCGAACCCUGCCGGGGGUACCA
rnacentral:tRNA from 1 species